rnacentral:snoRNA from 1 species
CGAUAGCAAGUUCCUUUGGUGUCGACGAGUCACCGACAUCAAAUUUUUUGCUAUCGGAAAGAAAAAUCGGAUCACUUCACCCGACGCUACGUUGCGAAGAUCCACUCUUCCGAAUAUCUUGUAGCCGUCGGUUUUGCAGAUCCGCACAUAC